AUUGAACGCUGGCGGCAUGCCUUACACAUGCACGUCGAACGGCAGCACGGGGGCAACCCUGGUGGCGAGUGGCGAACGGGUGAGUAAUACAUCGGAACGUAUCCUGUUGUGGGGGAUAACUAGUCGAAAGAUUAGCUAAUACCGCAUAAGCUCGGAAGAGGAAAGCAGGGGACCGGAAACGGCCUUGCGCGAUUGGAGCGGCCGAUGUCCGAUUAGCUAGUUGGUGGGGAAAGGCCUACCAAGGCGACGAUCGUAGCUGGUCUGAGAGGAUGAUCAGCCACACUGGGACUGAGACACGGCCCAGACUCCUACGGGAGGCAGCAGUGGGGAAUCUUGCGCAAUGGGCGAAAGCCUGACGCAGCGACGCCGCGUGAGGGAUGACGGCC
rnacentral:rRNA from 1 species